rnacentral:lncRNA from 1 species
CCCGCUCUCCCUCUCCGUUGAGAUCCCUCCAUCGAGAUCUGCUUUCUGACAGUGCUGAGUCCUCCCUCCUCUUCUGCUCCCGGUUCCUCUCCCGCUGGACCCACUCUACGGUUCUCGAUGCCCUCUCUCCCUCUCCGCCACAAGAUCUGCUCGCUGGUGGCCGGACCCCGACACCAAAGUCGUAGACGAAGGAGAUCCUCUCCCUCUCUCUGUCUCUCAAUCUCCCUCUCUCCCUCUCUCUAUCUCUCAGUCUCCCGCUCUCCCUCUCCAUAGAGAUCCCUCCAUCGAGAUCUGCUUUCCGACGGNNNNNNNNNNNNNNNNNNNNAGGAGAUCCUCUCCCUCUCUCUGUCUCUCAAUCUCCCUCUCUCCCUCUCUCUAUCUCUCAGUCUCCCGCUCUCCCUCUCCAUAGAGAUCCCUCCAUCGAGAUCUGCUUUCCGACGGUGCCGAGCCCUCCCUCCUCUCCUCUCCACCUCUCCCCCUCUAUCGCUCCAUUCCGUGGCUCUGUCACUGAGUGCCCCCUCCCUCUGCCUCACAUCGCCUCCGCCGCCAUCCGGGCCACCCCUCCCUCUCCACCGCUAUCCACUGUCAGGAUCCGAUCUCUUCACCACUA